UGAAGCUGGAAUUGCUAGUAAUGGCAGGUCAGCAUACUGCCGUGAAUACGUUCCCGGGCCCUUGUACACACCGCCCGUCACACCAUGAGAGUUGGGAAUACCCGAAGCCUGUGAGCUAACUUAUAAGAGGCAGCAGUCGAAGGUAGAAUCAAUGAUUGGGGUGAAGUCGUAACAAGGUAUC
rnacentral:rRNA from 1 species